ACCGCAUCUGCGGUGAUACUGACACGUUUGC
rnacentral:sRNA from 1 species